AGGAUGAACGCUGGCGGCGUGCCUAAGACAUGCAAGUCGUGUGGGUUUAGACCCACGGCGAACGGGUGAGUAAUACCUAGGAACUUUCUUUAAGUUGAGGAUAUCCCAUCGAAAGAUGGUGCAAUACUCAAUGUGGUAGUAAUACUAAAGUCGCAAGACGCUUAAAGUGAGGCCUGGGCACCAUCAGCUAGUUGGUAAGGUAAUGGCUUACCAAGGCUAUGACGGUUAGGGGUCCCGAGAGGGAUAACCCCCACACUGGAACUGCGACACGGUCCAGACUCCUACGGGAGGCAGCAGUUUGGAAUUUUGGACAAUGGGCGAAAGCCUGAUCCAGCGACGCCGCGUGGACGAUGAAGGCCUUCGGGUUGUAAAGUCCUUUUGCUCGGGAACAAUUUUUGAGCGUACCGAGAGAAUAAGAGGUUGCUAACUCUGUGCCAGCAGCCGC
rnacentral:rRNA from 1 species